rnacentral:rRNA from 1 species
AGAGUUUGAUCCUGGCUCAGGACGAACGGUGGCGGCGUGCUUAAUACAUGCAAGUAGAACGCUGAAGACUUUAGCUUGCUAGAGUUGGAAGAGUUGCGAACGGGUGAGUAACGCGUAGGUAACCUGCCUACUAGCGGGGGAUAACUAUUGGAAACGAUAGCUAAUACCGCAUAACAGUGUUUAACACAUGUUAGAUGCUUGAAAGAUGCAAUUGCAUCACUAGUAGAUGGCCCUGCGUUGUAUUAGCUAGUUGGUGGGGUAACGGCCUACCAAGGCGACGAUACAUAGCCGACCUGAGAGGGUGAUCGGCCACACUGGGACUGAGACACGGCCCAGACUCUACGGGAGGCAGCAGUAGGGAAUCUUCGGCAAUGGGGGCAACCCUGACCGAGCAACGCCGCGUGAGUGAAGAAGGUUUUCGGAUCGUAAAGCUCUGUUGAAGAGAAGAACGUGUGUGAGAGUGGAAAGUUCACACAGUGACGGUAACUUACCAGCAAGGGGCGGCUAAUACGUGCCAGCAGCCGCGGUAAU